GAUGAACGCUGGCGGCGUGCCUAAUACAUGCAAGUCGAGCGAACAGAUGAGGAGCUUGCUCCUCUGACGUUAGCGGCGGACGGGUGAGUAACACGUGGAUAACCUACCUAUAAGACUGGGAUAACUUCGGGAAACCGGAGCUAAUACCGGAUAAUAUAUUGAACCGCAUGGUUCAAUAGUGAAAGACGGUUUUGCUGUCACUUAUAGAUGGAUCCGCGCCGCAUUAGCUAGUUGGUAAGGUAACGGCUUACCAAGGCAACGAUGCGUAGCCGACCUGAGAGGGUGAUCGGCCACACUGGAACUGAGACACGGUCCAGACUCCUACGGGAGGCAGCAAUAGGGAAUCUUCCGCAAUGGGCGAAAGCCUGACGGAGCAACGCCGCGUGAGUGAUGAAGGUCUUCGGAUCGUAAAACGCUGUUAUUAGGGAAGAACAAAUGUGUAAGUAACUAUGCACGUCUUGACGGUACCUAAUCAGAAAGCCACGGCUAACUACGU
rnacentral:rRNA from 1 species